CCGAUAUUUGUCACUAUAAUUCCCUAAAUAUACACCAUAGAAUACUAGUGUCCCAAGAUCCUAAACUAUAACAGCAAAUACAAGCUAGUAAACAAAUAAAAAUGUAAUUUGGUGGUCCAGUUGGUUUGUGAAUUUCAAGGAGAGGAUAGUAUAUGAAGGAAUUUACAAUCAUAUACAAUUUACAUCUCAUAUGUAACCAGAUGAUAGAGGCUCUGAGAAUUACUGCUAUCAUGGGAAAUGUUUACCUUUUCUUUAACAUAUGGGCUUCUCAGGUGGUGUUAGUGGUAAAGAACCCACUUGUCAAUGCAGGAGAUGUAAGAGAUGAAGGUUCAAUUCCCUCAGGAAGGUCAGGAAGAUUCCCUGGAGUAGAGCAUGACAAUCCACUCCAGUAUUUUUGCCUUGAGAAUCCCAUGGACAGAGGAGUCUGGGCAGGCUACAGCCAAUAGGGUUGCAAAGAGUCAGACAAAACCGAAGCAACUGAGCAUGUACAUGCAUAUUAAAAUGCACAUAAGGCGGGAGGAUGGCUAUUUACAUGGCACUUUGCUAUACAUCUGAUCCCAUCACUUUAUGGGAAAUAGAUGGGAAACAGUGGAAACAGUGUCAGACUUUAUCUUUUGGGGCUCCAAAAUCACUACAGAUGGUGAUUGCAGCCAUGAAAUUAAAAGACGCUUACCCCUUGGAAGGAAAGCUAUGACCAACCUAGAUAGUAUAUUCAAAAGCAGAGACAUUACUUUGCCAACAAAGGUCCAUCUAGUCAAGGCUAUGGUUUUUCCAGUGGUCAUGUAUGGAUGUGAGAUUUGGAGUAUAAAGAAAGUGCAGAAAAUUUGAUGCUUUUGAACUGUGGUGUUGGAGAAGACUCUUGAGAGUCCCUUGGACUGUGAGGAGAUCCAACCAGUCCAUCCUAAAGGAGAUCAGUCCUGGGUGUUCAUUGGUAAGAGCUGAAACUGCAAUACUUUGGCCACCUGAUGUGAAGAGCUGACUCAUUUGAAAAGACCCUGAUGCUGGGAGGGAUUGAGGGCAGGAGGAGAAGGGGAC
ensembl:lncRNA